GACGAACGCUGGCGGCGUGCCUAAUACAUGCAAGUUGAGCGCUGAAGGUUGGUACUUGUACCAACUGGAUGAGCAGCGAACGGGUGAGUAACGCGUGGGGAAUCUGCCUUUGAGCGGGGGACAACAUUUGGAAACGAAUGCUAAUACCGCAUAAAAACUUUAAACACAAGUUUUAAGUUUGAAAGAUGCAAUUGCAUCACUCAAAGAUGAUCCCGCGUUGUAUUAGCUAGUUGGUGAGGUAAAGGCUCACCAAGGCGAUGAUACAUAGCCGACCUGAGAGGGUGAUCGGCCACAUUGGGACUGAGACACGGCCCAAACUCCUACGGGAGGGAGCAGUAGGGAAUCUUCGGCAAUGGACGAAAGUCUGACCGAGCAACGCCGCGUGAGUGAAGAAGGUUUUCGGAUCGUAAAACUCUGUUGGUAGGGAAGAACGUUGGUGAGAGUGGAAAGCUCAUCAAGUGACGGUAACUACCCAGAAAGGGACGGCUAACUACGUG
rnacentral:rRNA from 1 species